UACGAGAUUGAUCUAAGAUUUAUUUAAUUAAUACAAGGUUAAAGUCUCAAGUUAUUUAAUAUUUUAAGUUUUGCAGCAGAUUCUCUAUGCGCAAAAUAUAGAUAACUGCGUAGUCUUUCUUUCCUGAAAAAAUCUGAAUUAUAAUAUAAUAAUUAUUGAUUACUCUUAUAACUAUUGAUAAAAAAUAAGCUGUAGAUUCUACAAAUUGAAUAGGUCAAUUUAUCGAUUUGCAUUACGAAAUCUAAAAAGGAUAGGCGCUACGUGUAUGCAAAAAAUUAUGUUUUAUACAAAGUUAUUCAUUUCGUAAAACAAUCUUAGAUUAUGAUACGUACCGCAGAUGCUAAUUAACAAGCUUUAAGUAUUUGAUACAUCUUAUACAUCAUUAGAAUAUUAGAGCAUACUAAUUAUACAAAACAUUUGAUACACGCUUUUUAUCAGUAGAAACAUUAAGAAGCCAAUCCAUAUUUUAAUUAAUAAAUAAUUACAAUUCAUACUAUUCCGCAGCAAUAUUUAUGGCUUAUUGUUUUCUUAUAUUUUUCUAUGUUUUGCGUCAGUCGUGUCAUUCUAAUUGACAAUAUGUCAUUAUCACUUUAAUCGUCUUUCGCUGAGUGUUUGCUUUUUGUUUUUGAUAAUACGAGACAGGCGAUGUGUAACCAAAAGAUAAGUUACAUGGAAAGUGUUACAUAUUAUCAAACUGUAAUAAUAAAUUGUGGUCUGUCAAUUAAUUGACCGAUAAUAAAUUGCCCGAACAAAGUACAACACAAUUUGUUAUGUAGAAGUAUUUUUGUGUAUUAUAUUGAAGAGCACGCCUCAUUUUAGCAAUUUAUAUAAAAUAUAUUAUUGAUUUAUAUAAAACAUAUUACUUGCAAUAGUUUAAUUAUAAAUUAAACAUUGGCAUCAAUAUUAUAUCAAGAACCAAAGUAAUUUUCUUUGGUUCUUGAUAUAAUAUUGAUGUCAAUGUUUAAUUUAUAAUUAAACUAUUGCAAGUAAUAUGUUCAAUAAUAUGUUAAAAAGAAGAAUAUUGAACUCACAGGCUUUAUUAUCAUACAUCUAAAUUAUUUUAAAAAAUAUUAUUUCCAAAGAAAUAGUUACUUCUUUAGAAAAUCUCCUUGACUCUUCGGUGUUAUAGUCUUGAAUUAUUGUCGGAUUAAUGCAUCUUAAUAAUUCCUUCCAAUUAUAAAAAAAAAACGGAAUUAUUUCUAGAAUUCUUAAUCAUCGCUCGAAAAAGGUACCUCUAACGCAGAGAACCAACACAUUUAAUUGGUUUCAAAGAUUGCUAGAAUAUAAAAAAUUGUUUCAAUUACGGAUACUAGCGAGCAAACAAACGACAACCUUGAUAAAAUAUAAUAGACAAUUAUGAUUUAAAUUGUAAAUGUAUUUCAGGUCAUACAUCAUAUAGAUGACAUUUACUUGUAUCAAUAUUUGCUUUUCUUUAAACAAUAAACUUUGUAAACCUUACAUAAAAAUAUGUAUAAAGAGAUGUUUCCUAUAAAAAUGUAAUACUGAGCAGAAUUAAAUUGGCUAGUAAUUAAUAUCUAUUUUAAGUAUGAAAAACACUACUAAUACUUUAAUGCUCAAAAUCAAUUAUAAUUACGAUCCAAUCUACCCAGUAUUACAUUUUUAUGAGAAAUAGGUGCAUAUAUAUGCACAUAUGAAAUAUAAAGAUGUAGAUGCACAGAUACAAUGCUCUUUGUUUUUUUCAAAAUUCAGAAAUGUUAGUAUAUGUUUUUAUUCUAAGUGUGUUAACAUAAUAUUGAUUCAGACUUAAAUUUUAUAGGUGUAGCUUUACUAUGGUUUAAAAGUAACAUUUUUUUUUAUUUUUAAUCAUAUUUUCGAUUAUUUUAUCAAAUAUAUUUAAAGUAUACCUAAUAAAAUAAUAUUUGAUAAAGUACAUCUGCUCUAAGAUAAGUUAUCAUAAAUAAUUAAAUUAAGUAAAAUAUUCAUCCACCCAUGUUUUAUACGUGGAUGCAUGAAUAUUUUACUUAAUUUAAUUAUUUAUUAUAAUUUAUCUUAUAUAAUGCUGAGUUUUAUGACAUUGUCACAGAUUAUAAGUUCGGAUUCGUGUUCUGAUGUAAUUCACAAAUUAGAGAAAAAUUUAAAAUAUAAAGUAUAUUAUAAAAUCGAGGCACGCGCGUAGUAGUACGUGGUCCACCAACUCAAUAUUUCAUUCUCUCAAACAAAGAAUGUAAAUUUUUAUUUGUUUUCCAUUCAAGAGUUGUUUUCUUUUUGCCAAAGAUCCCAUCUUUUAGAAAGAGCGUAAUAAAAUUCAUGCCUAAAUACUUUAUUGCUACCUUUUUUCUACAAUACUGAUUAAUUCUCUCAUUCUAUGCUACACUUGUGCUGCUAAAAUUGCACGUGUUUACAAGAGUAGUGCAAUUCAUGUCAAGAUCAUUUUACGAGAAUAUUCCUUGCAUACGUAACAUCUUCAGGCAACGAGGCAUGUAACAGAGUACACAUGAAUUAAUAUGAUACAAGCGUGUAUUUCUUUUCAAUGAUGAUAAAUUGAUACUAUCACUCUACAGCGACAAUUAUUUAUAAUCUUAAGAUGAUGGCCUUUUUUUAACGUGUAAUUGGAUGUCAAUGAGAACAAUAGCUACCAAUAUCACAAAUGACAUGUGAAAAAUUAUUUCGUAUAUGUAGAACAGAGAAAUAAAUCUUUUAUUUUUUAAUGACGAAGAUAUCUUGAAAAAGAUACACAAGCAACACACACACACACACACACACACACACACACACACACACACACACACACACACACACACAAUGGGAAUUUUAUAAAAAACAUAGUAAAAAUUUUUAUUUAUUUUUUUUCGGUUUGCACUUGUUGUUUAUCAAAGAAAUUUUCAAUAUAACACUUAUUUCUUGCAAUACAUCAAACCACGUUAUAAGAAUAAACAAAUCAGUUAUGUCAUAGUAAUUUACAUCAUAGAUGAAAAAAAUGACUAAAAUGAUCGAAUGAUCGUAUCUGGACUGUAAUUUUAAAUAAAAAAAAUAAAAUUGUACUCGUCAAUAAUUAACUUUAAUUACUCUUUUAAUUUGUAGAUUAUAUAUAUACUCGCUUGUUAGAUUGUAUCAUUAUAAUUUGUUUAAAUUGCGAUUUGAAUACUUUACUUAUAAUGAAAUCAUCACACUUUUAAUUCGUAUUAUUAUAAUGUUAUAAAAAUACAAAUAUGUGUGUAAAUUACAUUAAGAAAAGUGAAAAAUAAUGUGCAAUACCUAUUAAAAAUUUUUCAACACAAUUAGUGAUACAUUUAAUAUAGUUUUAAAACAAUUAGUGAUAUAUUUUAAUCGAUUGCUUCAUUAUGUAAUAUGUGCACUAAUAACUUUUUUCGUAAAAAUUAAAAAUAUAUAAACAUUGUUAAUAAAAUCAUUAAAGUGAUGGAAAAAUAAUAAUUUAAUUUAACUUAUAUUUAUAUGUAGAACUCAAAAUAAUCGUUAUAAUUUGAUAGUUAUUCGAAAUAAUUAUGAAUUAACAAGUAAUAAAAUAUUAAAUAUAAAAACCAUAAAUUUUUAAAAAUCGGAAACCGCCUAAAAACUGUUUAUUUAUUGCCAUGUAAAUUGAAAUUUUAAGUGUAAUAUUUCUCACGAAUAUAUAUGUACUUUUAUUAUUAGAUAGAAAUAGAAGAUAAAGUUAACAGUGACAUAAAAGUCAAAGUACCUUAUUAAAGUUAAUAGUGACAUAAAAGUCAAAGUAUAUUAUGUUAAUUAUUUGAUACGCUUUUUAAUCAACAAAACAUUAAUAAAAAAAGUCUUUCCGAUAAUUUCAUUGAGUAUUCAACUGAAAAAAGAAACAGCUAUCAUCUCUCUCUCUCUCUCUCUCUCUCUCUCUCUCUCUCUCUCUCUCUCUCUCAUAUAAAUAGCACAUAAUAAAUUAUUUAGUACAAGUUUUUCUUUACAAAGGUGGAAAGUAUAUACUUCAAAAACAAUUGUUUUCUUUUUUGCAACUUUAUACACGUAUUUCCGCCGUGUUUAAUGCAUACAAGACUUCACUAAUCAAAAUUAUAAAUAAUAUCAAGUUAUGAAGCUUCAUAAUUACAGCGCUAAUUGUUCUGAGAGCGAUUAAUGACGUCAUAAGGGACGAAUACAAUAUUGUACAAUAUUCCAGAUUUUCUAUACAGAUUUUAACAAUACGUUAAUAAACUUAAAUAAGAAAAAAAUGUUGUACGUCAUUUUAAAAUGCAAACUUAGCUCAUACUAUUAAAAUUUGUACGGAAAAUCCGGGAGUAUCUUGUAUCACUUUCUAAGAAAUAUGUCACGAGCCAAAUUAUAACUUCUUCAUGUUACGUGAUAAUGAUUCAUGAGUAUUUUACGUUUAUUGUGCAGUAAGUACAUGGAUUUGAUCGAUUAUUGCUUCCUUCUAUCGCGUCGCAAGCAUUACUGAUGGCAGUAGAUUGAAUAUAUUCAUGGAAAAUUACGUCAAACGUAUCCUGAUCGUAGAAAAAAAAUACAAGCGAAGAGAACGAGAAAAGUUUCGGCGAAGAAUAUUUCUAAAACGCAGAGUGGAUGUCUGAAAGCGGCAUGUACAAUUUGCAUGAUCUCGGUGCAAAUCGCUUCACUUACAGGUUGACGAUGCAUGCGUCGGCAGUCUCAGGUCAAGAAACCUUGUAAUUCUGUAAGAUAAUGAUUGAAGCGCGUGACUCACGUUUUCGCAUGGCGUAUUAAACGCAUUAAAGCAGUGGAAACACGUGCGGAUUGCGGUUGUUUCUUUUCUUUUCAAGAGAUAGUAAGAAAAUGACAGAUAGAUGCUAAUGUAAUGUCAUUUAAAUGUGACAGUCCGUGA